rnacentral:rRNA from 1 species
ACUCAAAGGAAUAGACGGGGGCCCGCACAAGCAGCGGAGCGUGUGGUUUAAUUCGAGGCUACACGAAGAACCUUACCUGGGUUUGACAUGCAGGUGGUAGAGGGCGGAAACGUUCUCGACCUUCGGGAGCCUGCACAGGUGCUGCAUGGCUGUCGUCAGCUCGUGCCGUGAGGUGUUAGGUUAAGUCCUGUAACGAGCGCAACCCCCGGUAGUAGUUACACGUGUCUACUACGACUGCCCGUGACAAGCGGGAGGAAGGUGGGGAUGACGUCAAGUCAGCAUGGCCUUUAUAUCCAGGGCUACACACACGCUACAAUGGCCGGUACAAUGGGACGCCAAGCCGCAAGGCGGAGCUAAUCCAGCAAAGCCGGUCUCAGUUCGGAUUGUGGGCUGCAACCCGCCCACAUGAAGUUGGAGUUGCUAGUAACCGCGCGUCAGCCAUAGUGCGGUGAAUACGUUCCCGGGCCUUGUACACACCGCCCGU